rnacentral:rRNA from 1 species
AUUGAACGCUGGCGGCAUGCCUUACACAUGCAAGUCGAACGGCAGCACGGGUGCUUGCACCUGGUGGCGAGUGGCGAACGGGUGAGUAAUACAUCGGAACGUACCUUAUCGUGGGGGGUAACGCAGCGAAAAUUGCGCUAAUACCGCAUACGCCCUGAGGGGGAAAGCGGGGGACCGUAAGGCCUCGCGCGAUUAGAGCGGCCGAUGUCUGAUUAGCUUGUUGGUGAGGUAAAAGCUCACCAAGGCGAUGAUCAGUAGCUGGUCUGAGAGGACGAUCAGCCACACUGGGACUGAGACACGGCCCAGACUCCUACGGGAGGCAGCAGUGGGGAAUUUUGGACAAUGGGGGCAACCCUGAUCCAGCAAUGCCGCGUGGGUGAAGAAGGCCUUCGGGUUGUAAAGCUCUUUUGUCAGGGAAGAAACAGCAGCUCUAACACAGUCUGCGAAUGACGGUACCUGAAGAAUAAGCACCGGCUAACUACGUGCCAGCAGCCGCAGUAA